rnacentral:rRNA from 1 species
CUCAGGACGAACGCUGGCGGCGUGCUUAACACAUGCAAGUCGAACGGUGAUGACCAGCUUGCUGGUCGGAUCAGUGGCGAACGGGUGAGUAACACGUGAGUAACCUGCCCCAGACUCUGGGAUAAGCCUUGGAAACGAGGUCUAAUACUGGAUAUGAGAUGCCCCUGCAUGGGGAGUGUCUGGAAAGAUUUAUCGGUCUGGGAUGGACUCGCGGCCUAUCAGCUUGUUGGUGGGGUAAUGGCCUACCAAGGCGACGACGGGUAGCCGGCCUGAGAGGGCGACCGGCCACACUGGGACUGAGACACGGCCCAGACUCCUACGGGAGGCAGCAGUGGGGAAUAUUGCACAAUGGGCGCAAGCCUGAUGCAGCGACGCCGCGUGAGGGAUGAAGGCCUUCGGGUUGUAAACCUCUUUCAGCAGGGAAGAAGCGCAAGUGACGGUACCUGCAGAAGAAGCGCCGGCUAACUACGUGCCAGCAGCCGCGGUAAUACGUAGGGCGCAAGCGUUGUCCGGAAUUAUUGGGCGUAAAGAGCUCGUAGGCGGUUUGUCGCGUCUGGUGUGAAAACUCAAGGCUCAACCUUGAGCUUGCAUCGGGUACGGGCAGACUAGAGUGCGGUAGGCGUGACUGGAAUUCCUGGUGUAGCGGUGGAAUGCGCAGAUAUCAGGAGGAACACCGACGGCGAAGGCAGGUCACUGGGCCGCAACUGACGCUGAGGAGCGAAAGCAUGGGGAGCGAACAGGAUUAGAUACCCUGGUAGUAUCAUGCCGUAAACGUUGGGCACUAGGUGUGGGGCUCACUCCACGA